rnacentral:rRNA from 1 species
CGCCGCGUGAGUGAUGAAGGUUUUCGGAUCGUAAAGCUCUGUUGUUAGGGAAGAACAAGUGCCGUUCAAAUAGGGCGGCACCUUGACGGUACCUAACCAGAAAGCCACGGCUAACUACGUGCCAGCAGCCGCGGUAAUACGUAGGUGGCAAGCGUUGUCCGGAAUUAUUGGGCGUAAAGGGCUCGCAGGCGGUUUCUUAAGUCUGAUGUGAAAGCCCCCGGCUCAACCGGGGAGGGUCAUUGGAAACUGGGGAACUUGAGUGCAGAAGAGGAGAGUGGAAUUCCACGUGUAGCGGUGAAAUGCGUAGAGAUGUGGAGGAACACCAGUGGCGAAGGCGACUCUCUGGUCUGUAACUGACGCUGAGGAGCGAAAGCGUGGGGAGCGAACAGGAUUAGAUACCCUGGUAGUCCACGCCGUAAACGAUGAGUGCUAAGUGUUAGGGGGUUUCCGCCCCUUAGUGCUGCAGCUAACGCAUUAAGCACUCCGCCUGGGGAGUACGGUCGCAAGACUGAAACUCAAAGGAAUUGACGGGGGCCCGCACAAGCGGUGGAGCAUGUGGUUUAAUUCGAAGCAACGCGAAGAACCUUACCAGGUCUUGACAUCCUCUGACAAUCCUAGAGAUAGGACGUCCCCUUCGGGGGCAGAGUGACAGGUGGUGCAUGGUUGUCGUCAGCUCGUGUCGUGAGAUGUUGGGUUAAGUCCCGCAACGAGCGCAACCCUUGAUCUUAGUUGCCAGCAUUCAGUUGGGCACUCUAAGGUGACUGCCGGUGACAAACCGGAGGAAGGUGGGGAUGACGUCAAAUCAUCAUGCCCCUUAUGACCUGGGCUACACACGUGCUACAAUGGACAGAACAAAGGGCAGCGAAACCGCGAGGUUAAGCCAAUCCCACAAAUCUGUUCUCAGUUCGGAUCGCAGUCUGCAACUCGACUGCGUGAAGCUGGAAUCGCUAGUAAUCGC